UACAGAGGGGGCAAGCGUUGUUCGGAAUUACUGGGCGUAAAGGGCGCGUAGGCGGCCUGCUAAGUCGAACGUGAAAUCCCUGGGCUCAACCCAGGAACUGCGUCCGAUACUGGUUGGCUUGAAUCCGGGAGAGGGAUGUGGAAUUCCAGGUGUAGCGGUGAAAUUCGUAGAUAUUCGGAAGAACACCAGUGGCGAAGGCGACUCACUGGACAUGUAUUGACGCUGAGGUGCGAAAGCGUGGGGAGCGAACAGG
rnacentral:rRNA from 1 species